rnacentral:lncRNA from 1 species
UGGAUGACUCCAAAUGAGUAGGCCUUCUUAGCUCCAAACCUUCUCUGCAAUUAAAACUUUUUCUCCCUGUAGGUUCAUUGCUCACAAUCUAAGCUUGAGAAAGUACUCACCAUACAUCAAAACUUAGUUUUCUCAUGUGAAAGAUGGAGCGACCAGCAUGUAAUACAAACUCAAACAAGUCCUUGAAAAUGGGAAGAUUAAACUGAAAUACAUCGAGGGAAGAGUGAAGAGAAAAUGUUAAGAAUCCUGCUUGUAUCAGUAAGAGUCUCUUUGAAUAUUUACCUGUAAUUUUU